rnacentral:rRNA from 1 species
AACGAACGCUGGCGGCAUGCUUUACACAUGCAAGUCGAACGGUAACAGGCCGCAAGGUGCUGACGAGUGGCGAACGGGUGAGUAAUGCAUCGGAACGUGCCCAGUCGUGGGGGAUAACGCAGCGAAAGCUGCGCUAAUACCGCAUACGAUCUAUGGAUGAAAGCGGGGGACCGUAAGGCCUCGCGCGAUUGGAGCGGCCGAUGUCAGAUUAGGUAGUUGGUGGGGUAAAGGCUCACCAAGCCAACGAUCUGUAGCUGGUCUGCGAGGACGACCAGCCACACUGGGACUGAGCCCCGGCCCAGACUCCUGCGGGAGGCAGCGGUGGGGGAUUUUGGACGAUGGGCGCAAGCCUGAUCCAGCAAUGCCGCGUGCAGGAAGAAGGGCUUCGGGUUGUAAACUGCUUUUGUACGGAACGAAAAGGCUCUGGUUAAUACCUGGGGCUCAUGACGGUACCGUAAGAAUAAGCACCGGCUAACUACGUGCCAGCCGCCGCAGUAACAC